rnacentral:rRNA from 1 species
GAUGAACGCUAGCGGGAGGCCUAACACAUGCAAGCUGGGCGGUAGAGUCUCUUCGGAGACUUGAGAGCGGCGUACGGGUGCGGAACACGUGUGCAACCUGCCUUUAUCAGGGGGAUAGCCUUUCGAAAGGAAGAUUAAUACCCCAUAAUAUAUUGAUUGGCAUCAAUUGAUAUUGAAAACUGAGGUGGAUAAAGAUGGGCACGCGCAAGAUUAGAUAGUUGGUGAGGUAACGGCUCACCAAGUCGAUGAUCUUUAGGGGGCCUGAGAGGGUGAUCCCCCACACUGGUACUGAGACACGGACCAGACUCCUACGGGAGGCAGCAGUGAGGAAUAUUGGACAAUGGGUUAGCGCCUGAUCCAGCCAUCCCGCGUGAAGGACGACGGCCCUAUGGGUUGCAAACUUCUUUUGUACAGGGAUAAACCUAUCUACGUGUAGAUAGCUGAAGGUACUGUACGAAUAAGCACCGGCUAACUCCGUGCCAGCCGCCGCGGUAAUAC